ensembl:lncRNA
UGAUCAUUACCAAUACUUGAAAAUUACUUUUAGUAGACUUUGUUCUCUGAACUUUUUUCAUAACUGUUUUGAUGUAUGUAUAUGAUAUUACAUAAUUGUUUUGUAAAAGUUUUUUUAAUAAAUAUUGUUUCUGCGAAAAGAACAGCGACAAGAACUUCUCCCAACAUAUACUGCCCAUAUCGUGUCAUUUCAUUCCGCCCGUUCUCAACACAUGAAUACAUUGUAUGGUUUGCAUUAAACCGUUCCAGUAGCAGGUGGGAUGCCUUUUAUUUAUUUCUAUCAUUUUAGCCCAGUAGUAGCUUUAUAGCGCUGUAAUCCCUUAGCAGCCAUCAUGUCUUCCUCCAGUCCAAUUAGUGCUUAGUCUUCUUCGUGUGUGUGCAUGCGUGUAUUCUUGUGCACACCUUCCAUUUUCUCCCUUUUGACUACAUGUUCUGUUACGCAAAUAUCAAUUGAUUGUUUGGACCAAUCUGCCUCACUCACUCAUACCUUUUUGUAGGAUUUAGGAGAUGAAGAGAGGGGUGAAGAAGAGGAUGAUGAUGAGGAGGAUGAUGAUGAUGAGGAGGAGGAGGAGGAGGAGGAGAUUAACACAGAGGAGUCUGAGGAGACAAACGGACAGCCGUUAGCGUCUCUGAGCCAGUCAACGUCACCACCCUUCCAGGUUUGUAAUCCGACAGACCACGUUAAACCAGUUGUCGACUUGCUCCUUACCUACUUAAAUGGAGUGUACUCUUUCCAGGCACCGCAGGAUCUGAAAGAAGAAGCUCUACCCGUUCAGAAAGGUGAGCCCGGUCGAUUGGCUCCGGCAGAGCUGAGCUCUCCAUCCUGCACCCAGCCAUGGAAUGGAAGGCCACAGGACAAACCAAAGAGCCAACCAGAGGAACACCGAAAGCUGUCGCUGUUCAAACGCCUUUCCUCCUCCAAGCUCAAGCAGGCAGAGAAUGUCAAGUCCCCAGCAGAGGGAACCGGUGUUGGGAAUCUGCCUGUCAGUUCCAAUGGUCCCUCUGCAGGACUGGAAAGCAGAGACCCAGCAGAGAGCCAAACUUUCUGUGCUCAGGCCCCUCUUAGAGCCCCGUCUGCCCCAGGUGGUAGAGGUAACCACUCUGCCACCUGCAGUCUACUGUGACUCUAUUUGAUGGCUAUUGGAGGACUUGACUGGCAGCAACAACCAAUGAAAACUCUUGUGCCUUGUGUUGAAGAGGAUGCUGGUCAAUUUGAAACCAUAGGCAACUACACUUUCACCACUAGCUAAAACAAUGUGACCUAUUUAUUUACAUUCAGUCCCAAAAACGUCCUAUAUGUAAAUGUUAAAACUCCCAAACAUUUAUUUAACCACAGUGUGUUUUUAUGAUGUUGUUUUCAAAGUGCAUUUUAAAACUGUGACAAUUUCUAAAAUAUUUAUUGCUGACUGAAUUACCCAAAAUGCACACUUGCACUUUAAAAAUAACGUUAUAAUGUGUUUUCAGGGAAAUGUGAAAAUGUAUUGUGUGUCUUCUGAUUUUUAUAUAUUCCGAUUUUGAUAUAGAUUAUAUUUUCAUUGUCUUGUAAACAAAUUUGUCUCGUACAUUUAUUACAGCUCUGAUGUGACCAUCAUUGAUUUAUUUGCAUAUAGGUAAAAU